GCCUGAGUGGCUCAGUCAGUUGAGCGUCCGACUUCAGCUCAGGUCAUGAUCUCACGGUCUGUGGGUUCGAGACCCGCAUUGGGCU
rnacentral:tRNA from 1 species